UGUAUAAUGGGUCAGCGACUUAUAUUCUGUAGCAAGGUUAACCGAAUAGGGGAGCCGAAGGGAAACCGAGUCUUAACUGGGCGUUAAGUUGCAGGGUAUAGACCCGAAACCCGGUGAUCUAGCCAUGGGCAGGUUGAAGGUUGGGUAACACUAACUGGAGGACCGAACCGACUAAUGUUGAAAAAUUAGCGGAUGACUUGUGGCUGGGGGUGAAAGGCCAAUCAAACCGGGAGAUAGCUGGUUCUCCCCGAAAGCUAUUUAGGUAGCGCCUCGUGAAUUCAUCUCCGGGGGUAGAGCACUGUUUCGGCAAGGGGGUCAUCCCGACUUACCAACCCGAUGCAAACUGCGAAUACCGGAGAAUGUUAUCACGGGAGACACACGGCGGGUGCUAACGUCCGUCGUGAAGAGGGAAAC
rnacentral:rRNA from 1 species